UACAGCUUCUUUGCUACUGAGCGAGCAAACUAUUACUGUGAGGCCAAAAAUAUGCUUGGUAGUGAGAGAUCGAAAACCAUCUGUAUUGACAUCAUUGAUGCUCCUUUGACUCCCAGAAUUGAUAUCCCUUUUGGUGAUCUGAAGGAGGGCCAGUCUAUCACUAUAACCUGCUCAGCUUCAACUCCGUGUCUACUCUCACCUCCUAAACUCACCUGGAAUCUCCAACAAGACUCUCUCAGACACACAGAGAAAAACAAAGAUGGAACCUUUACAACUAAAAUCCAGAAGAACAUCAUUCUGUCAGACACACAUGAUGGAUACAACAUCAGAUGUUCCUCCAGACAUCCUGCGGCUGAAAAAAGCAACAUAGCAAAGACAGAAGUGACUCUCAGUGUUUCAUAUGCUCCUAGAAACACCUCAGCAUCCAUCAAGUCCAUCAGCUUUGGUGUCAGCAGGUAGCAGGGUGGAGCUGAACUGCUCCAGCAGAGCCAAACCUCCACCCAGCUUCACCUGGUUCAGGAACAGCGAACGUGGAUUCAUUAAAGUGGCUUCAGUGUUCAGUAUGAGCUUCAGUGCUGCUGAGCGAGGAGACUAUUACUGUGAGGCCACAAAUAGGCUUGGUAGUGAGAAAUCGAAAAGCAUCUGUCUUGACCUCAUUGAUGCUCCUUUGACUCCCAGAAUUGAUAUCCCUUUUGGUGAUCUGAAGGAGGGCCAGUCUAUCACUAUAACCUGCUCAGCUUCAACUCCGUGUCCACAAUCACUUCCUGAACUCACCUGGAAUCUCCAACAAGACUCUCUCAGACAAACAGAGAAAAACACAGAGGGAAUCUUUACAACUAAAAUCCAGAAGAACAUCACUCUGUCAGACACACAUGAUGGAUACAACAUCAGAUGUUCUUCCAGACAUCCUGCGGCUGAAAAAAGCAACAUAGCAAAGACAGAAGUGACUCUCA